UCGCCUGUUUAUCAAAAACAUAGCUUAAUGAAAAAUAAAUUAGGUGAGCCCUGCUCAAUGAGUGAUUUUUUUAAAUAGCCGCAGUAUCCUAACUGUGCUAAGGUAGCAUAAUCAAUUGGCUUUUAAUUGAAGUCUAGAAUGAAUGGGUUUACGGGGAAGAGCUGUCUCUAAGAAAGAAUAUUAAACUUAAAGUUUAGGUGAAAAUUCCUAAAUUAUUAAAAAAGACGAGAAGACCCUAGGAACUUUAAAUUUUUAUUGGGGCGAUAACGAAUCAUUUAACAUUCGUGUAUAGAUUUAAUAAUUGAGUUAUAUUAAAGGUAAAUAAGUUACCCUAGGGAUAACAGCAUUAUUAUUUAUUUGUUUGUGACCUCGAUGUUGGACUAGGAAAGUAUAAAAUUAGCCAUUUUAUUUAUUUGUUCUGUUCGAACAGUUAUUCCUACGUGAUCUGAUUCAGACCGGA
rnacentral:rRNA from 1 species